GAUGAACGCUGGCGGCGUGCCUAAUACAUGCAAGUCGAGCGAACAGAUGAGGAGCUUGCUCCUCUGACGUUAGCGGCGGACGGGUGAGUAACACGUGGAUAACCUACCUAUAAGACUGGGAUAACUUCGGGAAACCGGAGCUAAUACCGGAUAAUAUAUUGAACCGCAUGGUUCAAUAGUGAAAGACGGUUUUGCUGUCACUUAUAGAUGGAUCCGCGCCGCAUUAGCUAGUUGGUAAGGUAACGGCUUACCAAGGCGACGAUGCGUAGCCGACCUGAGAGGGUGAUCGGCCACACUGGAACUGAGACACGGUCCAGACUCCUACGGGAGGCAGCAGUAGGGAAUCUUGCGCAAUGGGCGAAAGCCUGACGGAGCAACGCCGCGUGAGUGAUGAAGGUCUUCGGAUCGUAAAGCUCUGUUAUUAGGGAAGAACAAAUGUGUAAGUAACUAUGCACGUCUUGACGGUACCUAAUCAGAAAGCCCCGGCUAACUACGUG
rnacentral:rRNA from 1 species